UUUUUUUUAAUAGUUCUUAUUGUGUGUUUAAUUCUCUUAAAUUCUAACUAAACUUUUACUUUACAAUCCAAUCUUAAUAUUCAAUGAAGAAGUAUUUUACCCCAAUGUCGAAAUCAAGUUUAGCCUCUUAUAGUCAUAGUCAAUCUAACCAAGAGAAUAAUGUCAAUCAUUCAGAAGUACCAUCACAUUCUUCUCAAGAAUUUGAUUUGAGUACUUUAAAGUUUGAUCUCGGUGAAAGAACUUCAAUAUUGAAUUAUCAUCCAAAUCAUCGUGAUGUUAUUAGAAGGGCAUACCUUGUGAGUGGUCCUUAUCAACCUCGCUUGGAGGUACAUGAGUACCCUCAAACAAAUAUUUCUGGAGCAAUGCGUAGUUUUAAUCAUGAAUGGUUUGAUGAUGUAUAUCAUGAUUGGUUGGAGUACAAUGUUAGUAAAGAUGCAGCCUAUUGUUUGUAUUGCUAUCUAUUUAAAGAUCAUAAUAUUAAUCAAGGUGGAGGUGAAGUAUUUUCAUAUACAGGAUUUAAGAAUUGGAAUAAAAAUAGUGGUCUUGACAAGCAUAUUGUUCUGCAGAAUAGCCCACAUAAUCGAUCAAAAAAAAAAUGUCAAGAUUUAUACGACAACAACAGUCGAUUCAAUCUGCAUUUGAGAGAUAAUCUAAUCAAAUUAAACAUGGAUAUUAUAUCCGCUUAAGUGUUUUGGUUGAUGUAGUAAGACUUCUUAAUCUAAAUCAUCACUUAGUAGGGGUAAUUUUCUUCAGAUUCUCUCAUUGUAUGCAAAAAGGUGUGAUAAAAUUCAUGAUUAUGUACUUGAACAUGCCCCUCAAAAUGAUCAAAAUGACUUCUCCAAUAAUUCAAAAAGAUAUUGUGAGUGCAUGCAAGAUAGAAACAAUUAAAGCUAUUCUCGAGGAACUAAAUGGUGCCUACUUUGCCUUACUAGUUGAUGAAUCUUUUGAUAUUUCACGAAAGGAGCAAAUGGCUACUGUAUUACGAUAUGUUGAUAGAAUGGGAUUUGUGAUGGUGCGACUUAUUGACAUUAUUCAUAUUCAAGAUACUAGUGCAUUAUCCCUGAAAAAGACAAUUAUUAAUUUACUUGCUCAACAUUCUUUGAGUCCAUCACGUGUGCAUGGACAAUGUUACGAUGGGGCAAGCAAUAUGCAAGGUGAGGUCAAUGGACUUAAAAUGUUGAUUAGGGAAGAAAGUAGAUCGGCUCAUUCUAUACAUUGUUUUGCUCAUCAACUUCAACUAACUCUUGUUGGGGUCUCUAAAAAGUGUGUUGAAGUGGGAAAACUUGUAGUAUUGGUCUCAAAUAUUUUUAAUGUAUUGGGAUCUUCUUUUAAGCGUAUGGAUGAUUUACGAGAUUCUCAAAAAGCAGAAAUUUAAGAUGCAUUAGAUAUGGGUGAACUGACAACCAGUAGGGGCUUGAAUCAACAACUUGGUCUUUCAAGAGCUUGUGAUACUCGUUGGGGAUCAUAUUAUAAAUCCUUUAACAAUUUUAUUCUUAUGUUUGUCUCUAUUGUUGAAGUUCUUGAAUCAAUUGCUCUUGAUGCACGAAGUAUGGAUGAAAGAGCCAAGGCAAAUGUGACAUCUUGAAUCUUGUCGAACAUUUGAGGUUGCGUUCAUGUUGCAUUUGAUGAGAGAUGUAUUAGCAAUCACAAAAUGAGCUCAAUAAAUAGCGUACAAAGAAAGGAGCAAGAUGUUGCAAAUGUCAUGCUACUUGUUGAAGUAGCAAAGAAAAGGUUGCAAGUUUUAAGGGAUGAUGAAUGGAAUUCUCUUAUUGCUAAGGUAUUUAUAUUUUGUACCAAACAAGAAAUUUUGAUACCUAACUUUGAGGAGCCAUAUGUUAGCUCUUUAAGAUCACGGCGAAGACUUGCUCACUAUACAGUCUUACAUCAUUACCGUAUUGAAGUGUUUUGUCAAUAUUAUUGAUUGGCAACUUCAAGAGCUUAAUGAUCAUUUUAAUGAGGUAGCUACUGAUUUGCUCCAUGGAAUCGCUUGUUUGAAUCCAAUUAACUCGUUUUCAAGUUUUGAUAGCAAAAAAAUAAUGAGGAUGACUGAAUUAUAUCCAGAUGAUUUUGAUGAACUUAAUAUGGACUCUUGAGAAUCAACUUGCAAGUUACAUUGUUGAUGUUCGUGAUGUUGAUGAAAGGUUCUCUGAUCUAAAUGGACUUCGUGAUCUUUCCAAAAGAUUAGUCCAAACAAAAAAAACAUUCAAAUUAUCCUCUGGUGUUCCACGUAGUGAAACUUGCUCUACUUCUACCAGUUGUCACUGCAUCCGUUGAAAGAGCUUUCUCGGCAAUGAAGUUUAUCAAGAAUGACUUGCGAAGUCAACUAAGUGAUGAUUUUUUUAGUGGUUGUUUGGUGCCUUUUGUAGAAAAAAGAUGUAUUUGAUAGUAUUCCUAAUGAUGCUAUUAUUAAGACAUUUCAAGAUAUGAAACCUAGUAGAGUACAAUUGUAAUGAUCUAUUUAAGUUUUUAGAUAUAUGUGCUCUAAAUUAAAUUUUUUUUAUCCGACCCAUUUAUUUGUGGAUAUUAUUUACGUGAUUUAUUUAUUUUUUGAACCCCCUUGAUGAAAAUCCUCCCUCCGCCACUGUGUGUGUCUAUAUAUAUAUAUAUAUAUAUAUAAGAAUUAAUUUUAGACCUAUAAUUUUAAAAUUUUAACGGUUUUCAGUAGUAAAAAACUAAAUGGCGAACCAAUCAAAUUUAUUUUAUAACUGUGCACCCAUCAUCUCAAAAUCCUGGAUACGCCUUUGAUACGAGGAAUGGGGAUGAAGAUAAGGUGUGUUGGAUGUUGGAGAGGACAUAAUCAAUCUGAAAUAUCACUAGCUAGUGCAACUUAUUUUCCCUACUUUCACAAGGAAAGUUAUUUUUCGUAUUUUUACAGAGUUUAUGUAGGCUGAGUCAUGUAAUGGAGGUUAAGGUCAUCAUAGUGUCUAGAAAAAAGACUACCAAUUAAAUCAUAUCAAAUUGAAUUGAUUUUUAGAUGAUGAUUAUUAUAUAAAUUUAUAAUUAGAGUGAAUAAUUAGAUAGAUUUUUUAUUUUAUAAAAAUUAACCAAAAUAAUAUCGAACCAGUAUCAUACCAAAAAAUAUGUGUAAAAUAUAUUUUAUAUAUUAAGUUAAAAAUAAUAACAUAUUAAAGCUUUUGAUUUAGACGUCGUGUGAUGGAAGGGACUCCAAGCGGCUACAUGAAUAAUACUCAAAGUCCCAACACCAAAACUUAUUGUACUACUCUGAUCUGAUCGAAAUUAAAUUAAAUUAAUACUAACAUCUCGACUUUCGAAUAGUAUCUGCUAAGCUACAAGGUACUCCGCUGAUUUUUUAUAACAAACUACAAGUUAUUAGAUAUUUUUUCUCUCUUAUGAUUUAAAUUUCUCUUAUUUGAUACUUAAUUUAAGUAAACUCAGUUAUUUAUUUUCUUUUUGAUGAUUUCUUCUCGCUUGUGUGAUUUAAUCUUUUUAUUUUAUCUUUGCUUAGUAUUGUUUUACACUACCACAAAAUAAUGAGAUGAAUCUCUAUUCUUGUUUUCUUUCCUAUUUUCUUGAUUCAUCACUUUUUAAACAAUAAAAAUAUUUAAUGAGAGCUAUAAGCCAUCGGUAAGACGUUCUAACUUUUUUAUUAUUAUUUUUAUAAGAACAUAAAAAAUUAAUCAAAUUGUAUUGAUAUUAUAAAGAAAAACCAAAAUGAUGGGAUGUUUUGAAAAGUAAUUUUGAUUAUAUAAAAUAAAAUAACUAAAAAUUGAUAUGAUAAUUUUUUUUAUAAAAUAACAAUACAGUAAAACAUCAUUAAAUUAAUACUUGGUAAAUUAUUAAUCUCUCUAAGAUAAUACAAUGAAAAAACCCACGUAUUUCAAUAAGAUAAUAAGAUAAUAUAUUUUCAAAAGACCCCUAUAUAAAUGUAUGGUCCCAUUAAAAUUAUAAAUUAAUAAUUCUUUAAAAGUACAAAUAUAUCUAAGACAACUUAGUGAAAUAUGAUUAUAUUGUUAACCUCAUAAAAUCAGUUGAUUUUGAAAAAUUACUCUUAACAAUUAUCGGUACCCUUCGCAGGAAAAGAAAUAAGAAAGCAAAGGAGCCAAGCAUAUAGCACGAAGAAGGGAAGAGAUACGAUCUGAUAACCAACGGAAGAAAGGAAAGUCAUGAUUAGAGGAAUUCCAAAUCAAUUCAACAUACCCACAAUCCUAGCAAUAGUUCAAUCUAGCAAAGACUAAUUCAAAGAUCAGCAAUCCAGCCAAGAAUCAAGUGGGCUAUCAAGAUAAGGAAGUCAGCAAUGCAUCCAAGAAUCAAGGGGGCUAUCAAGAGAAGGAAGAGAAUCAAUUCAAGCCGAGAUUCGAGAAGAUCAUCUAAACAAGGAAGUAAAACAAUUUGAUCAUGCACAUAUUUAAUAUGGACAUGAAUUAGCAAAUCGCCUCAAUCAAUGAAUCUCUCAAUAUCCUUGAUUGAGAGAAACACCCUUGGGGUUUUUCCUUACAAGAGAAAGCAGCAUACCUAUCUAUAUAGACCUCAUUUAGUCUUAGUUAUCAAGUACAGACUUCACUUGAACUUGUACUAUUUUCUCCUGUUGUCUUUCAUAAAAAUAUUGUACUCUCAUAAGUAAAUAAUUGAAAAGAGAAAGAACGAUUUAAGUGUAAGUUAUACAAGUAAAGGUUGUGUCAAAGUAGAAGAUCUGAUUUGCAUAUCAGACAGGGCUCCGAGUAGAAAUACUUCGUAAACACCCAAGUUCUCAACAAGCUCUUAAGGAAACCCUUGAAACCCAAGGGGACUGGAAGUAGGCACCACAUCGAUGUUCUGAAAAAGUAUAAAAUUCUCUGAGUCCUUUACUUACUACAUUUACUCUUAUCUUAUAUUGUUAAACUAAUUUGCAGGUGAGUCGACUAUCCCACACAGAAAGUCGACUAAAGAAAUUUUUUAAUUCACCCCCUUCUUCACUUUCAAUUGGUAUCAGAGCAAGUCUCACAGAUAAAGUGCUUAACCACACAUGAGCAAAGAUAUAUGGCGAACUGUCAAAUCCAUGAUGCUCUCCUUCAAGACGGACAUUUCUCAAAUCGACCCCCUUACUUCAAUGGUCAACAAUACUCUCAUUGGAAAGACAGAUUUAGAAUUUUUGUUAUCUCAAAUGACCUCAUGGCAUAGAUAAUCAUCACGAAGGGACCAAAGCCAAUUCAUGGAUUUCCUGGAAAGGACGCUACUGACAAACCCUUUGAUUUAAAAUUCUUUGACAUUACAAAGGACCAACAAGAGGUAAUCUAAACUAAAGCUAGGGCAAUAAGCUUAUUGUACUGUGCAAUUAGUAGAGCAUAAUAUGAAAAGAUUUUUAAUCUGUGAAACUGUGAAAUAAAUGUAGGACAAACUUGAAGUUACCUAUGAAGAAACCAACAAAGUCAAGGAAGCUCGACUCAGUUUAUUGAAGAACGAAUAUGAGUUGUUCAAAAUGGCAGAAGAUGAAAACGUUGAGAACAUGUUAGGUUCAGUAAAAUCAUUUGUGAGCUCAAGUCUUUGGGUAUGAUAUACUCAAACGGACUACAAGUCAGGAAUCUCAAUAAAAGUCUCUCAAAAGCAUGGGAAACUAAAGCAACCAUUUUAGAAAAUGGAGAUCUGGAAAAACUGACUUAUGACAAACUCAAAGGAAAUCUUAUGGCUUAUGAACAAAAUCAUAUUAACAGAUACCACAGAGAUGAUAAAAGAAAAACUGUCGCAUUCACUUCUGGAACUACUGAAGUUGAAGAAGAGAUAAAUGAAACUCAAAGUGAGGGAAUGACCCUCAUCAAUCGAGGAGUUAGCUAAAUGCCGAGUCAAUGGAGGCAAAGGCCUCAACAAGUUUCAAGAACAUUGAAUACCAAAGAAAUGAUGAUCGAUGCUACUACUGCGAAAAACCAGGCCACAUUAAACAAAAUUAUCCAGAGCGAAAACGGAGAAACAACCGAAGAAGUGAAGAUUCAAAAAGUCUUGAAGCCUGGAGUCAAGGAUAAACAUUUGAAGAUGAUCGUGAUGAAACCGCCAACAUAUGAUUCAUGGCACUAGGGGAAUCAAGUGAGGUAAGACCUUUUAACUAUUCAAAUUUCAAUGACUUAUAGAACUCUCUGAUAUGGUUACUAACGAAUUGCAGAAAGUUAUCGAUGAAUAUAACAAACUUGCUCAAGAAAAGAAGGACUGGAAAAUUCUUCUAGAAGCAAGUCAGAUUGAAGUCGACUUGCUAGAAGAAGAACCGAAGGAAGUAAAAAUGCAGUUGAAUAGCAUCAGAAAGUCUCCUAGUCAUAGUUCCAUCAGAUCCAAUAGAUCUAUCUUAAUUGUCUCUUAUAAUUCCUCUUUUCAUUCUGCUGAAAACUCCGUUCAAAUUACUUGUUUUACUUGUGGUGAUAUAGGCCAUAAAUCUUUUUACUACAGGAAAUAUUCCUCUGAAAAAUGGAUUUGGAGACCAAAAGUUGUUAAUCCUAACCCUCAAAGACCCAAAAAUAUCUGGGUACCUAAAAUAAAUUAAUCUAUUUGUCUUGCAGGAGCAAACCAAGAAAACCUAAAAAAGAGAAUGUGGGUAAUAGACAGUGGAUGCUCCAGACAUAUGUACGGAAAGAAAUAAAACUUCAAAUCUCUUACAAAAAUUGAUGGAGGAUAUGUACUGUUCAGAGACAAUGCAAAAGGAGAAGUAGUAGAAGUCGGAUAAAUCAUUCUCAGCUUAUCAUGAGAUCUAUCAGAAGUAUAUCUUGUAGUCGGGCUCAAACACAACUUGCUUAGCAUCACUCAACUAUGUGAUAUUGGAUUCAAAAUCUCAUACAACACUACAAAUUGCACCAUCAGACAUACGACUAAGGAUAUCACAUUCAUUGGAGAUCGUGUUGAUAAUAUCUACGUUCUAAAUAAUAUUGACGUACUUACACUUACAUGUAUCACUGCAGUGUCAAACAAAUCUUGGCUAUGCCAUAGAAAACUUGGUCACGUAAGCAUGCAUGCCCUUGAAAAAUUGUCCAGACUUGAACUAGUCAUUGGACUUCCAAAGUUAAAAUUUGAAAAAGGACCAUAUAUGUGACGCUUGUCAGCUUGGUAAGCAAACUCGUUCUUUGUUCACGGUCAAGGAUACUGUAAGUACCACUAAACCUCUGCAACUUCUGCAUAUGGAUCUCUUUGGUCCCACUCGAAUAGCUAGUAUUGGUGGUAAGAAAUAUGCUUUUGUCAUUGUCGAUGACUUCUCAAGAUCCACCUGGUCAUAUUCCUAUCCCAUAAAAAUGAAGCUUUCAUUGACUUUGAAGUGUUUUGUAGAAAAAUUCAAAGAGAAUCAAGAUAUUUUAUUUCUACAAUUCCUAGCGAUCACGGUGCAGAAUUUGAGAAUAAAGUGUUAGAGGAUUUUUGUGAUAAAAAUGGUUUCACUCAAAACAUCUCAUCUCCUAGAUCACCAUAGCAAAAUGGUGUGGUAGAAAGGAAAAAUCGUUCAUUACAGGACACAUCCAGAACCAUGCUUCUUGAUGGAAAUCUCUCUGACCAUUUCUGGGCAAAAGCAAUAAGUAUCGCGUGUCAUAUUCUAAAUAGGUGCCUUAUCAGACAUAUAUUAAAGAAAACUCCAUAUGAAGUAUGAAGAGGUUAAAAUCCUAACAUUAGCUACUUUCAUCCUUUCGGAUGCAAAUGUUUCAUGCACAACAACGACAAGACAAAUCUGGAUAAGUUUGACCCAAGAAGCGAUGAAGGUAUAUUCUUAGGUUAUGCACCUAUCAGUCGUGCAUUUCGAGUUUUUAAUAAAAGUACUUUGAGUGUUGAAGAAUUUGUCCAUGUUAUUUUUUAUGAUACUAACCCAAGAAUGUAGGAAGUAGAAAUUACUGAUGAUGAAACUAAUCCUACUUUGAAUACUGAAAGUCUCACAAACAUGUCAGAUCAAACUACACCAGAUGAGUUGACUACUUUAGAACUAGAGUUGACUAUCCUAGUUGAAAAGACUGGCAUUCCCACAGAAUGGAUACAUAACUCUAGCUAUCCAAACCACUUCAUCAUGGGUAAGACAACUGACUAAAUACAAACCAAAGCUUCAUUGAAAAAACAAGCAUCCGUAGCACUCGUUUCUCAAAUUGAGCCUAAACGUAUAAUGAGGCAAUUGAUGAUGAAUCCUGGAGACAAGCAAUGAAAGAAGUACUUGAUCAGUUUGAAAGAAACCAAGUAUGGACUCUUACUGAAAGACCGAAAAACUAUUCAAUUAUUGGAACCAAGUGGGUCUUUCGAAAUAAGCUAAAUGCAGAUGGAAAAGUUAUUCGCAACAAAGCAAGAUUGGCAGCUCAAGGAUAUUCCCAACAGGAAGGUAUUGAUUACGAUGAAACUUUUGCUCAGAUAGCAAGGUUAGAAUCCAUUCGUAUUCUUCUCGCAUAUGCAUCUUUUAAACGUUUUAAACUUUUUCAAAUGGAUGUAAAAAGCACUUUCUUUAACGGUUUUAUAAAAGAAGAAGUUUUUGUCAAACAACCCCUAGGGUUUGAAAAUCCUUUUUGUCCUGACUAUGUUUACAAACUUUUCAAAGCAGUUUACGAUCUCAAACAAGCUCCAAAAGCUUGGUCUGAGAGAUUAAGUACUUUUUUACUUCAAAAUGAUUUUCGAUGGGGGGAAAUUAACACACCACUUUUCAUUCAAAGAUCUGGUGCAUAUAUUCUUACACCUCAAAUCUAUGUUGAUGAUAUUAUCUUUGGAAGUUCUAACCCCACUCCAUGUGAGAACUUUGCUAAUCUUAUGAAGGGGGAUUUUGAAAUGAGUCUAAUAGGAGAACUCACAAUCUUCCUUGGAUUACAAAUCAAGCAGUCAAUUGAUGGAACGUUUAUCAAUCAAACCAAAUAUACAAAGGAACUUAUAAAAAAGUUCAGCCUAGAAAAGGAAAAAGCAUUCGGGACUCCCAUGAGUCCAUCUACUUGCCUUGAAACAAAUGCACAAAGAAAAGAUGUGGAUGAGAAAAUGUAUCAUGGAAUGGUCGGGUCACUAUGGUCGGUUCCUCACUGCAAGUUGACUAGAUAUUAUGUACACUUUCAAUCUACUCCAAAAGAAUCACAUCUCACUGCAGUAAAAUGAAUCAUUCAUUAUUUGAUUGGAACUACAAACUUGGGGUUAUGGUAUCCUCACUCCUAUCACUUUGAUUUAAUUGGAUACUCAGAUGCUGAUUUUGCAAGUGACAAAAAUGAUCGCAAAAGUACUAGCGGAACUUGUCAAAUUUUAGGACAAUCCUUGAUCUCCUAGCACAUAGAAAAAACCCUCAGUUGCACUAUCUACUAACAGAAUCUAAAUAUCUAGCCGAGAAAAGUUUUGGUACUCAAUUAUUAUGGAGGAUACAUCAAUUAGUGGAUUAUGAUCUCUCUUACGAAGCGGUUCCUAUUUUUUGCGAUAAUACUAGUACCAUUAGCCUUUCUAAAUAUAUUAUGCAUCAUUCUAGAGCUAAACAUAUUAAUAUUCGACAUCGUUUUAUUAGAGAUCAUGUUGAAAAUGGUGAUUUCUCUCUAGAAUUCGUCGAUUCUGAAAAUCAAUUAGAUGACAUUUUUAUAAAAACCCUUCUUAAGGAAAGAUUUUGUUUCCUUCAAAAUUGUGUUGGUAUUACUUGUUUUAAUUAAUAUGAUUUUUCCUUGUAUGUCUUUAAUGUGUUUUUCCUUUUCAGAUUUUCUGUCCUUAAUUAUUACAUGUUCGCCCUUUCCUCUUCUCCAUAACUCCCAUCUUUUCACUUCCUUUCAGACGUCUCCCCUUCAUUUCUGACUGUUCUUUUUUUUCCGUUUUCUUCCCCCUCUUUAUUUAUCUUCUCUCUUCUUUUUCUCUCAUAAAAUAUUCCUAGAACUCACUCCAUGGCUUCUCUCAAGAACUUAACUUCUUCGAGUUCCUUCGAAGUGAACAUCAUGUCUCUCUUCCAAUUCCUCUGAUGAAUCACUCAAUUCUCCUACCUCUUCUAUCAAAAGAAAAGCUUCCUCUGUCAAGAAGAAGAAUCAGAAGAAACCUCGUCCUAACGCGCCAGGAUCUCUCUCCUGAAGACGUGCAAAGAUUCUGUGGAGUCGAAUAGAGAAUAGGUAUGACAGCUUCAAAAUUCAGACUAUUGUCUAUGGACGUGCUAUCAAUCUCAGUAAGUUGAGGGACUCUCAAUGUCCGGUAAGUUCGUUUCUCAAGGCUCAAAAACUCUCCUUGUUGUUUAGUCUGUGUGGUCUUGAAUUUUUUGAAGAAGUUGUUCGACUUUUCCAUGCAAGUCUCUGCAUCUCUACUAAUAGUGAUGAGGCGGAAACCCUUGUAAUGGGAUGAUGUAUUAUUAUCAAUGAACUGUUAUUUGAAGAUAUGUUUGGUACUAAGUUUUCUGGUGUGAUUUCGUAUAUGAACGAAGCUUGGCCCGAUGAUUUUGAGGUUUCUCUAGAAGGUGCUAAGAGAGUUGUAGUUGAGCCAGACUCUGACUUAUCUGAUUUUGGGCCUCUAUCUCUUUGUUUUGAACAUUGCCUUCUAUCACAUAUUGUUGCCACCACUCUUAUUUCCAGAAAAGGAUCUCUAAGUAGUAUUUCUACUCAGUACGUGUUUGUUCUCUACUUAUUACAUAAGAAAUAACCCAUCAACUGGGCGGUUUGGUUCAAAGAAUACAUGCUGGAAAGUGUUGAAGACCCUAAUGCCUCUGCAAGUCUGCCGUAUGGGUUACUCAUCUCGCGCAUCCUGGUGGAUCGUUUUGUGGAUCUCUCUAUGUUUACACCUAUUGUUAUUAAUUCUACUUAUGAUUCUCGUACUUUCUCUAGUAUGGGGUAUGUGCAGGUGGAAAACAAAUGGGUGAAAAAAGACUUUGUUAAAGCGAGAGUUGAAACCGUCAAACCCACAAAGAUCUCUGCAGAGUCAGUUGGCCUCCUGAUACAGGACAAUGAUGAACUCAAGACUCGCACCUGGCGGUGGAACGUGGUUUGGAGACUCUUCAUGAUGCUAUCAAAAAGGUAUUUCGCCUUCAAACUAAUACGAGCACUAACGUUGGUAAGUUAUGUUUUGCUAUGACUGACAUAAAACAGGAAGGAAUCUCCACAAUCAACAAGUUGACUCUCUCAAAAGUGGAGUCAACUCCUCAAACAAUGACCUUGUUGUCACUGUCCAGACCUCUUACUCCAGUCUCUCUAGAAAUGUGGAACGCUCCUACAACUCCUUUUGUGGAAAGGUCAUCAACACCCUUAAAUACUUUCUGGGUGAUCGCUAAAAUCUAACCUGGAUCUUUUGGUUUUUGUCUGCUACUUUUGAACUAUCUUUCAAUAGGGGGUAUGUCCCUACUUCUCUCUAUUAUUAUUUUUGGAUUGCUUAUUGAGGACUCUUUGUCCUCCUAACUGUUGCUCUGCUAUUAUCUGUUGCUACCUCGUUUGGCUUAUCCUAUGUGUCCUAGUUUUUUUUCUUUUUGAUAAAUGCAAAAGGGGAGGGUUUGUUCCCACAAUUUUCAUAAAGGCAGGGAGAGCUAACACAACCAAUGAAACCAUAAAGGCAGGGGGAGCAACAAAUCAAACUAGGAUCUACAAACAAACACAUCAUGAAAAACAGGGAAGCUCCAUUAUCUCUCUAAAAGCAUUAUAUUAAAAUUGUGAAUUAAUUGUCAUUAUCAAAAAGGGGGAGAUUGUUAACCUCAUAAAACCAAUUGAUUUUGAUAAACGACUCUUAACAAUUAUUUGUACCCUUCGCAAGAAAAGAAAUCAAAAAGAAAAGGAGCCAAACAUAUAGCACCAAGAAGGGAAGAUAUACAAUCUGAUAUCCAACGGAGAAUCAAGUGGGCUAUCAAGAGAAGGAAGACAAAAAUCCAUCCAAGAAUCAAGGGGGCUAUCAAGAGAAUGAAGAGAAUCAAAUCAAGCCGAGAUUCGAGAUGAUCAUCUCAAGAAGGAAGUAAAACGAUUUAAUCAUGCACAUAUCUAAUAUGGACAUGAAUCAGCCAAUCGCCUCAAUCAAGGAAUCCCUCAAUAUCCUUGAUUGAGAGAAACACCCUUGAAUUUUUCCUUACAAGAGCAAGCAGCCUAUCUAUCUAUAUAAACCUCCUUUAGAAGUAGAGGUUGUGUCAAAGUAGAAAAUCUGAUUUGCAUAUCAAACAGGGCUCCGAGUCGAAAUACUUUGUAAACACCCAAGUUCUCAACAAGCUCCUAAGGAAACCCUUGAAAUCCAAGGGGACUGGAAGUAAGCACCACAUCGGUGUUCUGAACCAAUAUAAAAUGGUUGAGUCCUUUACUUACUGCAGUUACUCUUAUCUUAUAUUGUUAAACUAAUCUGCAGGUGAGUCGACUAAAGGAAUUUUUUAAUUCCCCCCCCCCCCCUUUCUUCACUUUCAUCUACUGCGUUUUUGUUUUUUGUUAAAACUUAAUUCAAUAAAUAUGAUACAUAAAUUAAUAAGAUACAAUGAUUUUGAUGUAAUCAAAAUUAACCUUCAUUGAAUCUUAAAAUACUUUUUAAAUUAGUAAAUAUUAAUUUAUCGAUUAAAUAAUACCUCUAAAAAGUAAUAAUAUUUGAUAAUCCCACAUAUAUUAAUUUAGUGAUAUUUUAGUGUACCAUUAACACCCCUGGGAAGAAAAACCAAAAUGAUGGGAUGAUAUGAAGACAAAGAGUUGCAAGCCACAUAUUCUCUUAUAGUCAAUCAUAUGCAUUUGAAUUUUUAUAAAGUAACCUUAGCUUUCAAAGUGGGGUUUUAAUUUAUUAUGAAUUUCCCUAUUUAAAAUAAUAUAUGUUGUUCAAUUAUUUUGUUUCCCCUUUAAAUAAUAUAUGUUGGAAAGAUGAUUCUUAAAAUAAGAAAUUAUACUAUAUUGGUACAAGUAGUAAAAUAGAUACUAAAUUCUAAUGAAGAGGGCAUAGUUUGUCGGCAAGGAUACGAUAGUUUUAAUGCCUUAGACGUGGCCAUUUCCCCUCCUUUCACAAACUCCCCAUUUCGUUUUUUAAAAAAAUUAGAACAAUUUGAUCGGUUAUUUUUUUUAAAAGAUAUAUCAUUUCAACUUUUUAGGAAUUUUAUAAUAUAUGAUAGGAUUAAAAUUAGAUUUUCUAAAAUUAUCUCAAUCACAUUAAUUUCUCUUUGAUAUUGAUGUGAUUCAAUUAAUUUUUAAUUUAUUUAUUUUUAAAGUAUCAUCUCAGAACACACCAUUACUAAAAUAUUUCUUUUAUGAGUGUGUUCUAGAAGAAGCACUAUAAUAUAUUUUUUCACCAAAAAGCUAAGAAUGUAAAAUCUUGUUGUCGUAUUAUUUGAUCUUAAACUUUUAAAAGGAGUGCUUGCGUAUAUUGAUUUUGCCGUAUUAUUUGCUAAUUUCUAUUAUAGUAUCUUUUAAUUUUAAACCUAAUUAAUUGAAAAUUAAUUAAAAGGCAAAAACCCGAAGACAUCACCAGGACCUAGGUUUUAUUCAUAUUUGAAAAAUGUUAUAAAAUACAUUUUAUUAUUUAACAUAUUGUUAAUUUAAAAGCCAAAGACCCAAAGUCAUCACCAAAAGUCUAGGACCUAGGUUUUAUUCAUACUAGGUAAAUUGCAUGCGCUUCGCACGGUGGUGAACUACGUCAAUAAUCUACUUCUAAACAUUUGAUUAUAUAAGUGUUUUCGAGUGGGUACAGCCCUACGAUAAAUUGUCAAGAAUAUUUUAUCCAAAGAUGAAAUAAAAUAUAUUUUUAAUCUUAAAACCAAAAGAUUCUAAGUGUUUAUGCAUUUUGUUAUUAAUUCUUCAUUUUACUGUAGUUAUUCAUCACCAAAGUCUUUAAAAAAGAUAUGUAAUUGUUUCAUUGUCUAAAUUUGUAUUUUCAAAAGUGGUACAAACAUUUUAUUCAUCAAUUGCGAUUUUUCUCCUAUUCAAGACCUCUACAUACAGAAUCUAAAUAUUAUACAUCUUAUAUAAUUAGUUGUGUACUUGAUAAGUUAAUUAAAAUUUAAAAACACAUCUUUUGGAGUUCAAUGAAAUAACGUAUGUCGUUCAAAUAAUUUGAAUUAAAUGAUGUCUUGGCAAGUCCCUUAUUCAAAAUCAUUCGCAAUCGAUGACACUAUUUUGAUAGCCAAAAGGCAUAUUUUGUUGUUUAUGUUUCGAUCAAUAUGGUUAAAACUUUAUUUUUUUGCGACUUUUUAAUCUAAUGUUUAUAAGGAGAUAAUUAUUUCUUUAAUAUUUGAUUAAUAUGGAUUCAUCCUAUUUUGAGGGGUAAUUCAUUGACUUCAAUCCAACAUUUGAACCCCAAACUUUUGAUUAAGGUUGAGUACAAUACUUAUCAUCCCUCUACAUUCCUUUAUUUUUUGGAUGUCACUAAUCGAUUGAAUGUUUCGAUAAGAUAGAAAGUUGAAUAACUAAAAUUCCAAGGUAAUGUGGAACUAUCAUAACUUCAUAACACUCAAAAGUCCCUUCUUGGACAUCCCAUGGAUCUUUUAGCCACUAAAAUUCUAUAAAGAUCAAAGUCAUUUAUUUGACAAGUUUGAGAAUUCUAAUCUACAUGACACCAAUAGUCUAAUGAUUACAUCAAACUCUUGAUUAACAUAUCUUUAGUUCAACAUAAUAAUCAAAAGCAUAAAUAUAAACAACAAAGUUUGAAACAUGUACUCAAAAACAACAAUUAAUAACAUAAGCAUAAAUUAAUGACUGUAAAAAACUAUACCAAGAUCUGUAACAAUAGAAUGAAACGGAAAGGAAAAAAUCGAGCCCACUGAAUGCACAUUGUCCUCUUAAGGAAAUUAUUCCCCUAUAGUACCUGAGGUUUAAAGGAAUAGAUCCUCUCAGGAUAGAAUGAUUCUAUUCACCAGUGUAUUGAUACAAAAACAAUGGUGUCAGUGAGACAUUCAACAAGAGCAAAGUACACCAAUAUUUAAUUGUGCAGAAGAAGAAGAAGAAGUUCAGAAUUUUCGUUGUUUUAAUAUGAGAGGAAAUCCCUCUAUUUAUAGACUACAAAGGGUAGUGUGAAUAAAUGUUUAUUGUGCCUUAUCGGAAAGGUCACGACUCUUUGGAAAAGUCACAACCUUUCAUAAAAGUCGCAACUCUUCAUAAAAGUCGCAACUUUACGCAAAAGUCGCAAUUUUUCAUAAGAGUCACAACUUUUCAUGAAAGGGAAGACUAAUUUUGGAAAUAAAUAAAUUAAAAGGGAAUCUUGGUUUGUGGUGGCGCCACGUAAGUGGGCCUAGGGUUUUCUUUUAUAUAUAUAUAUAAUUUGAAAAAUGUUAUAAAAUAUAUUUUUAAAUAAAAUUUAACAUAUUGUUAAUUUAAAAAAAUAUAUUUGCAUUUGUAAGGUUGUUCAAUUCAAUUUAUUUAUUUAUUAUAAAUUUAAAAGAUCAUCCCAAUUGUUCGGUACAACAAUACACUUAAAUAAAAGUCCAUAAAUCUAUUAAAAAUUAUAUAAAUCAAUUCAAUUGGUUCAUCUCAAUUCAAUUGGUUCAUCAAUUUUCAUAUUCUUUUGACACCCCAAACAAUAUCCAUAUCCAUUAAUUCUUCAUCCCAAUUUCUACUCCUCAAUCCUCUAGCCACCGCAAAUUCUCCGAUAAAUCCUCCUACAACCACUUAGAACAACCCUCAAAUAAGAUUAAUUCUUCUUCUUUAGUUAUCCCUAUUGCAUUGAAUACUCUAGCAUAAGUGAUACCAUUUCUAUUAAAAAGAUUGAUUAUAUUGAUGGAAAGUCAAUAAUCAAGUUCAAGUGGAUGGAAUCUGAACUUAUAAGAAUGAAUACUAUAGAAAAUUUGGACUACACUAGUACUGAUUCAAUUUCAUAUGAUUGCUCAGAGCUUAAUGAUCUUCGCAUUCAAAUUUCAAACUAGUGUGUAAUCAAGGGUGACUGUAAUAUUAAAUUCCUUAAUGAUCUUCGCAUACAAAUUUCAAACUAGUGUGUAAUCAAGGGUGACUGUAAUAUUAAAUUCCUCAUAAACAGUAAGAGUACACAUUGAUUAUUCAGUCUCGAUCAAUUUAAAACUACUUAAAAAAACAAUCUCAAAUUUCAGAUAUGAAAUUUUUCGAUAAUUCAAGUCUUUUCAUAUAUGAUGCAUGGUAUAGUGCGGAAUGGUCAUUUGUGGUAAUAAAAAACUUACUGUUAUAAAAUAAAAACUGAGUACUAAAAUUAAACUAAUAACAACCAAGAAGGGAAGAAUGUAGUAGAGAGAUAAAUAGGAAACUUUUGUCUUUUAUUUUUGUGUUUUUUUCUAUACAAGUUACAAUGCCUUUUAUAGGCAUAAAAAGGGUACAAUGGACAUUCAUUAAUUCAUUUACAACACUCCCCAUUAGAUGUCCAUGUAAAAUAAAAUUCUUAGUGAAGUAACAAGUAUAAAUAGUUGUUCCUAAUACGCAUUACUUGCUGCCUCAUUAAAAACCUUAUCAAAAAAACCCAGUGAGAUAAAACCUUGAUUAAGGAAAAAAGAGUACAAUGCAUAUUUUACUCCCCCGAUGAAAACCACGAUUCAGUUGUCCAAGUUUUCUCAUUCCAAUCCUGUAUACCAUCUUCUCGAAAGUUGCGGUUGGCAAAGACUUGGUGAAUAAAUCAGCCACAUUAUCACUCGAACGAAUCUGAUAUACGUUGAUAUCACCAUUCUUCUGGAGCUCAUGUAUGUAGAAAAACUUUGGUGAAAUGUGUUUUGUUCUAUUGCCUUUUAUGAAUCCUCCCUUGAGUUGUGCUAUGCGUGUUGCAUUAUCCUCAUAUAAAAUUAUGGGUACUAUGUCGCAUUUCAAACCACAUUUUUCUCGAAUAAGGUGUAUUAUGGAUCUUAACCACACACAUUCUCGGCUUGCUUCAUGAAUAGCUAUUAUUUCAGCAUGAUUUGAUGAAAAAAUAUUGUUUGUCAAAUGCUCUAUUUGCAAACCAAGACAUAAUUUUGUCCUUCCGAGAUCUUUCAUCUCAAAUUCGUUCUUUAAAUAAUCGAUUGCCAAAGUACGAAGAUAUCGGAAUUAGUAAACCCCCGGUUUACUAUAGAAUGUGCCUCAAUUGCAGUAAUUUUUGUCCAAUACAAUCGAGAAGAUAAGGUUGUGAAUUUUUCUACAACAUAUGUCUGCCCGGAGACAUUUUUGGUUAUACCAAGAUAUUCAAGAUUCAUUUCAUCAAUUGUUUUGAUAUGAUAAUCAUUUUCACGAAUAUCUUUGAAACUCAAUAAGUUUCUCCGAGAGUGAGGAGAAAACAUAGCAUUAUUUAUUAUGAGUUUAGUUCCAUUAGGAAAAAUUAUAAUGGUCCUUCUGAAGACCUUGAUCAAAUUAGCACUACCAGAUAUCGUAGUAACAUUCAUAUUGUUCAUAUUUAAAUGAGAAAAAUAUUUCUCACUUUAGAAUAUUGUGUGUGUUGUGCCAGAAUCAAUCAAGCAAAUGUCUUCAUAAUUUGAUAAUUUGCUUGGAGAAUUAUCCAUAUCUUUUUUGAGUAAUGAAAUAAAUUUAUAUUAAAUCAUUAAUUAUCUUCUAUUAAAUAAUUUAUGAAAUAUAAGAAAUAAUGAAAGUGUUAAAAUGACAUUUGAAUCAUUAUAAUGAUCAUAUACUAAUAAUGCAUAAGAUCUUUAUCACCCAAACCUUUAACACUAAACUUUAGUCUAGUUUAACAUGUCUAAAAUAAGUAUUAAUAUAAUUAUCUAAUUUCUUGAAAGAACAUUUGAGUGACAAAAGAAAAAGUUAUUGUUUUCACUUACUUUAUUUAGAUAGUGCAUCUACUUUUAUUUUAAAUAUAACUUUAUUUAUUUCCUUUUAUAGUCACAAAACGAUAAGAAGAAAAUAGUAUUGUAAUAUACUCCAAUUCAUAUUCAAAUCAUUAGAAAAUUUCAACUCAUAUUUCCAUAGAUGUUUUAAAAGGGACUCAAUGAAUAUACAUGGAUAAACAUGAGUACUUUAAUUAUUUACUUCACAUAUUAUGACCAGUACAAAACAACAAAUAUUAAUAACAUUAUUAUUAGCAAAUAUCAACCAUGAUUAUUCUUCCAUAUCCAAGAAUCAUCACCAAUCAAGUGAUUUAUCUUUCCUUCAGUGUGUGUGAAGAAAUCUGCUACAUCCAAGUGUGUGAUGUCAACAUGAUCACUGAUAAAAUUAGCUUCAAGAUUUUUAUCUUUUUUUCUUAGUGAUGCUUGGUAAAGCUCAACCAAGUGUUUAGGAGUACGACAAUCAUGUGCAUAAUAACCUCUUCCACCACAUCAAAAACAAUUUGUUUUAACUACUUCACGUUUCUCAUCUUUUCCUUUUCCCUUUUUAUAGUGAUUUUUCUUUGGUGAAUGAUUUACACCAGAAAAAAGAUUUCGCUCUUGGUCAUAAUUACGACCACGCCCAUGUCCACGACCUCUUCCACGCCUAGCGUGGUGGGCGUACACCUCAUUCACUUCAGGAAAUGGUGUAUAUCCAGUAGAACGAUUCUCGUGAUUUUUCAUUAACAAAUCAUUAUUUUGUUCAGCCACGAGAAGAUGAGAAAUAAGUUCAGAAUAAUUCUUGAAACUCUUUUCUCGAUUUUGUUGUUGUAGAAGCACAUUCGAGGCAUGAAAGGUGGAGAACGAUUUUUCCAUCAUAUCAACAUCACUAAUCGUAUCUCCACAUAGUUUCAAUUGAGAAGUAAUUUUGAAUAUGACAGAAUUAUACUCAUGAAUAGACUUAAAAUCUUGUAACCUUAAAUGCAUCCAAUCAUAUCGUGCCUUUGGAUGAAUGACAAUCUUCAAAUGGUCAUAUCUUUCUUUUAGAUUAUUUCACAGAACGAGUGGAUCCUUGACUAUAGAUAUUCAAUUUUCAAAAUUUCGUCAAUAUGAUGACGUAAGAAUAUCAUUGCUUUAGCACAAUCUUGUUUUGAUGUUUUAUUUUCAAUUUUAAUGAUGUCUUCAAGACCCAUUGCAUCCAAAUGAAUUUCAACAUCCAGUACCCAUAAAAGAUAGUUCUUGCCUGAACUAUGAAGGGCAACGAAAGUUUAGUAAGAUUAGCCAUAAUAAAAAGAAGAAAAAUAAUAAUACCUUAGCCUUCAAAUUUAGUCUUCAAACUUUGAGAUGACAGAGUCUCGUGCUGAUAAUGUGUUAUAAAAUAAAGAUUGAGUACUAAAAUUAAACUAAUAACAACCAAGAAGGGAAGAAUGUAGUAAUGUUUACCAAUUCUCACAAAAAAAAGGGAAGAAUGUAGUAGAGAGAUAAAAUAGAAAACUUUUGUCUCUCUUAUUUUUGUGUGGUUUUCUAUAUAAGUUACAAUGCCUUUUAUAGGCAUAAAAAGGGCACAAUAGACAUUCAUUAAUUGAUUUACAACACUUAUUUUUUUAAGUGGAGUAUUUUUUAUGUAAGAAAUGUAUCUAAUGAACAUUUUGUCUAAUUUACCCCUUUAAAUAUUUAAGCCCCUAAACUAUCACAUUUUUAUUAGCUUCAUUCAUACUUAAAUUAUGCAUAAUUUAUGUUACCCCUUGAUUUAUAUAUUUCAGGUGCUAAAAUCCUCUUGGUUUGACAGAUGACAAAGUGCGUGUAACCACCUCCUUAGAGGCACCUGAGGGAUAAAAACAAUGUCAACUAGGUGGCUUUUGUAACGACUAAUUAAGAUCUUGGUUGAAUUGGUUUAAAAAUUGAUAUAAUCUACUUUUAAGUUAUUUUUAAUUUUUAAGAGUGUUUGAUAAGUUUAAAAAUAAAUCUAAAAUGACUUAAAAUAAGUUAUAAGUCAAAAGUAGAACCCUCUCUACUUUUUAUUUUUUGACUUAAAAGUCAUUUAAGUUUAACUUUGAAAAGUUACUUUUUAAAAGCUAUUUUUUAAAAUCAAUUCAAUCGGGCUCUAAGACAUGAACUACAAACGUAGAUUGUGAUGUAGUGGUGAGACUGUUCCACCCUUAAUCAAAGGUCUCGGGUUCUGAGUAUAGAAAAAAUUAUGUUGGAAACACCACCCCAGAUGGGUCCUGCGGUGCGCGAUCCGAAUUUAACCGGGACUUCAAUAUGGGCUUCAGACACCAAAUGAGAAACCAAAAAUAAAAAUUAAGUCAUGCACUAAGCAAAAUAAUGAAAGGAGACCAAAAGAAAGAACUUGUGAAUAUCAAGAUAUGCUCUUCAACCUCUCAAUGUUUAGGAUAUUUUGUUCACGAUACUUAAAUUCAUUUAUACUUUUUACUUUUGUUUUGGUUUAGUUCAACUUAUUUAUUUAGAAUUUAUGUUGUAAUUAAAACCAUUAGUAAUCUAAACGAAAUAUGAAAAAAAAGCUAUUUGGGAGGGUGAACACACUUACAUACUCGCAUAUAAUGAGCAGGAGGAUUUAGCAGCUGAAAGUCACAGUUUAAGGGGUAACGUAAACUAGACAUAAAAGUGUGAUAGUUUAGGGGAGUCUAGUGUACCUGAAAGUUAUAACGUAAACUAGGCUUUAUUUAAGUAUGAAACUAAUAUAAAUGCGAUAGUUUAGGAGGGUUUUGAUCCAUUGUCUCAUCUAUUAAUGAAAUCUAAGUGACUGAUACAUACCUCUUCUUGAAGAAACUCGCAAAGGAUUUUCUGCUUGCAAACUGUUGGAUAUGAGGUGAUCAAUUCUUUAAAAUGAUUCAGUCUUAACACAUUUGAAUCUAUAAGCACAUACUUUUUGGAGGUGUCCACUAAAGAAAGCACAAACUACUUACAUCGCAUUUUUUUCUGAUUUGAAGACUGUACAGAUAGAGCAGCAAGAAUUUGAAGUCAUAGGUGGCUGUCUUGCUGUACUCCAUAUUCUUCAAAAACCUUUACUCUCCUGCAACAUAUCUGCUUUCGUUGCCUUCAGCACUUCAAUCCCACAAGUACUUGCAUCUUCUAUAUUCUAGGUUAGUGUUUUCUUUGGAACAAGCUGCCCCACUCGGUCGUACUUCUCCAUAAAUUUGCAUUCCCAGUCUAGCAGAAUUUGAAGUUCAGCAUCACCAAGGCCUUCAAGGUUUCCAUUAAUAUCUUCAGGUUUGAAUGAUAACAGAGCCAAGGCUCGGCUUGCAUCUCGUCCAGCAAACAUUGCAUAUGAACUACCAGGACCAUAGAACAUC
rnacentral:lncRNA from 1 species